rnacentral:rRNA from 1 species
UACGUAGGGUGCAAGCGUUAAUCGGAAUUACUGGGCGUAAAGCGUGCGCAGGCGGUUAUAUAAGACAGAUGUGAAAUCCCCGGGCUCAACCUGGGACCUGCAUUUGUGACUGUAUAGCUAGAGUACGGUAGAGGGGGAUGGAAUUCCGCGUGUAGCAGUGAAAUGCGUAGAUAUGCGGAGGAACGCCGAUGGCGAAGGCAAUCCCUUGGACCUGUACUGACGCUCAUGCACGAAAGCGUGGGGAGCAAACAGG